CAGUAUCGCUUUCCGGGGGACAGAUAGUUGCGGCAGUCCAGCGAGCAGACACCAACUCCGGGAGCAGUGCUCCGGUUUGUGGACGUGACAUGGGUCGUAUUUAGACGCAGUAUAGUUUGCUUGUUCCAGACUCAGCAAAUAUCUUCCCUGCUCAACACGAUGCAGCAGCUACUGGCCAACGCAGCGCUCCACACGGAACAAGCACCACUUACAGCCAGCUAUACCACCUUUUCACCAGUUUCGUGAACAAGAAGGGGAAUGGCUCGAGUGGUUGCAACAAUCUGAAGCACUCGUACUUGCUUACAACGUACCAGGUUCACGGAGCCAGAGGACAGCGCUGCCACAGCAGCCGCCAGAGGGUGUCAUCACGACACCGUAGGCUGACCCCAUGGUGACGAAGUCUUCGCCUCCUUCGCCUCCUCUCUUCCCUACGGAUGGAGCUGGACCCGCCCACGCCGCAGCAGCGGCAGCCUUCCCCAUAAGAUUCUUGGUAUCCAGAGGUGGA